rnacentral:tRNA from 1 species
UCGCGCCCUGGUCGGGGUUUGCGGCGGCGGUGAUCACUCCACCGUGGGCGUGUGCAAUCUCGCGGACGAGGGC